rnacentral:tRNA from 1 species
CCCCGAGUAGCUCAGCUGGAAGAGCGUUCGGCUGUAAACCGAAAGGUCACCUGUUCGAGCCAGGUCUCGGGGA